rnacentral:rRNA from 1 species
GACGGAGGGCGCUAGCGUUGUUCGGAAUCACUGGGCGUAAAGGGCGCGUAGGCGGCCUGUUAAGUCGGGGGUGAAAGCCCGGGGCUCGACCCCGGAACGGCCUUCGAGACUGGCGGGCUCGAGACCGGGAGAGGAGGGUGGAAUACCCAGUGUAGAGGUGAAAUUCGUAGAUAUUGGGUGGAACACCGGUGGCGAAAGCUGCUCUCUGGUCCGGUUCUGACGCUGAGGCGCGAAAGCGUGGGGAGCAAACAGG